rnacentral:rRNA from 1 species
UACGAAGGGGGCUAGCGUUGCUCGGAAUCACUGGGCGUAAAGGGUGCGUAGGCGGGUCUUUAAGUCAGGGGUGAAAUCCUGGAGCUCAACUCCAGAACUGCCUUUGAUACUGAGGAUCUGAGUUCGGGAGAGGUGAGUGGAACUGCGAGUGUAGAGGUGAAAUUCGUAGAUAUUCGCAAGAACACCAGUGGCGAAGGCGGCUCACUGGCCCGAUACUGACGCUGAGGCACGAAAGCGUGGGGAGCAAACAGG